rnacentral:rRNA from 1 species
GACGAACGCUGGCGGCGUGCCUAAUACAUGCAAGUAGAACGCACAGUUUAUACCGUAGCUUGCUACACCAUAGACUGUGAGUUGCGAACGGGUGAGUAACGCGUAGGUAACCUGCCUGGUAGCGGGGGAUAACUAUUGGAAACGAUAGCUAAUACCGCAUAAUAUUAAUUAUUGCAUGAUAAUUAAUUGAAAGGUGCAAUUGCACCACUACCAGAUGGACCUGCGUUGUAUUAGCUAGUAGGUGAGGUAACGGCUCACCUAGGCGACGAUACAUAGCCGACCUGCGAGAGGAAUCGGCCGCACUGGGACCGAGACACGGCCCAUGCUCCUACGGGAAGCAGCAGUAGGGAAGCUUCGGAAAAGGACGAAAGUCUGACCAAGCAGCGCCGCGGGAGUGGAGAAGGUUUUCGGUUCGUAAAGCUAUGUUGUAGGGGAAGAACGAGUGUGAGAGUGGAAAGUUCACACUGUGACGGUAUCUUAGCAGAAAGGGACGGCUAACUACGUG